UUACAUCAGAAUACUUUUGGGAGAAAGUAACAAUUUGGAGUGGGUUUUGAAAAUUGCAAGGUGUAAAGAUUUUAAGUUGUUUAAGUCCCAAAUAACCCUAAACCAAGUCCAAUGAAGUUUCAUUUAUGAAGUUUCAAAUGUGAAUUCGCUUUAUGUGUGUAGAAUGUUGCUUUUAGCGUAGGUCCUUGAGCACAGUACCUUUCAGACAUCCUGUCCCUUUAAAUCAAACCACACCGUUACUUUGAAUAUGGAUUUACUACGUGGUAUUUAUAGCACAAGAGGGAAAGAAUGGACUUUGAUGUCUGAGACUGGAGUAUUCUCUUGGCCGGGAUCCACUCACCGCUGUGCGGCAUAGGAUGUGCACCGGGAAGGGACACAACAUCUUAUACAAUGAUAUGUCUGUCUAAACAGGAAUAUAUUUUAAGAACUUGAACCUCCCCCGGUUGAUGAUUCCCUUACAUGUUCAUUAAAUUUUACCAGGGUUUUUGGUUGUGUGUAAGAGUAACUUUUAGUCGUCUGGCUUAAUUGUUCUCAGGCUUACUGCCUCCCUCUGCUAACCUAAGCUUAGAAUAUAUUCACCUCCGAGACUUUGUGCUUGCCCUUUCUAGCUCUUUGUGAACUCUGGCUUUACUCUCUGCUCUGCUUGAAUUGCUCUGCUAACUCUAGCAAUCUGUUCCAAACUUCUGGCUCCUUUUCAUUCUCUGGCUCAUUCUGUCUUCACCUGUCUCUGUAAAAUUAACUCUCCCAGUAAACUGCCUCUGAAUUCCACGAACUCAGCUCCACUGCCUGCCUUUGAACUGACUCAACCGAAAUGACUAAAGAGAACUAACUAGCACUGAGAAAUCUGCAUGCCUCUCUCUCCUGAGGGCUGGGAUUAAGAGUGUGUACCCCCACGUCUGGACUUGAGCUUCUUGUUACCUGAAGUUUGCUGUGUACCAGGCUGGCCUUGAAUCCAGAGAUCUGUUUGUCUAUGUCUCUGGGAUUAAAGGCAUGUCUGUAUUCCAGCCAGAUCACAGAGACCUAGAAGGUCUUUGGAUGUGAUCUCUUGGCAGAGCAGCCAUGUUCUGAAUUAAAAUUACUCCACAGUUGUGCCUUACAGAAAUUGUAACUUGAUUUCAUGAUGUUUGAGCAUCUGGUUUUUUGUUUUUUGUUUUUGUCUGAACUGUAGCUAAUUUUACUACAUUGUUUGCCAUUAUGUCUGUGCUCAAGAUUCCCCACCCAACUCUCAGCCAAUCCCAUUAUUUGUAUUGGUGGUGAUUUCAAAUGGUUACCAAGUAAAUGUAAAUUCUAGAAUGAGUACUGAAAAUCCUGAGGAAAAAUAGCCAAUAAACAGGAGCCACUUUU
rnacentral:lncRNA from 1 species